GUGCUUGCUUCAGCAGCACAUAUAAUAAAAUUGGAACGUCACAAAGAAGAUUAGCAUGGCCCCUGCACAAGGA
rnacentral:snRNA from 2 species